rnacentral:lncRNA from 7 species
UGCUCUCAUGGAAGUUCUCUCAGUAAGGACUGUUGCAAGAUAGGGAAUACUUUUGCUGGUAUACAAUAACUACCCUUAUGGAAGGUGGUUACAAAAGACCGUGAAAGAGAUGAACUUCAGAUCCAGGGUCACAAGGAAACUUCUUACAAUCAAAACUCUGUUUGCUCACCUCUGAUGUUUGCAGGUUGCACAGGACGCCUUCACUUGGCUUUACAAAGGAAGACUCAUGGACAAGGAAUGCAGGAAAGUUAACUCCUAUUCUCAUGGCACAGUUAACCUAUGGUGCACACACCAACCUUGCUGAGUGUCUAAAGAGCCAUAGUCUGGUUUAGCAUAUCCAGUUUCAGACAUCAUAGUAAGUAGAAAACUGGGAAUCUGGGCACAGUAUUUUUUUUCAGAAAUUCUGGUCUUCUCCCUUGGUUUUAUUUCUUUAUUUUAGGACAUUACAAGAUAAUAGUAUAGCAUGCUUCAACUUGAGAUAUUAGCUCCCCACUUUGAUUCAUGAAUGUUUACUGAAAAUUUAUCAGAACAAAUGUACAUCUAAUGAAUUCGCUUAACUCCAUUAUCCUUAUUUUAGAUUCUUGUGAGUUAAUGAAAAGCACAGCAGGCUUGAAUUGUUUUGCUUUUAAAUCUAAAGAUAUUAUUUGUUUUGGCUUAAAGGGAAUUGUGAAAAAUGCUGACGCACUUGAAAAGAACAAACUUAACUGCUUUCUGAGGAUAACAAAUGAACCUUAACAGUGAGAUCCUGCUGUAUGUGGGGCUCUAAAAUCACAAUGUAGAAGUGCUUUACUGUGAUGUAAGUCGAAGGGUAUAAAAUUAGUUACAUGUCCAAAUAUGUGUAAUCCAAGAUGAUAUCCAGUUAAAAAUGGCUAAUGCAUAAGGAAUUUUUUUCUCCAAAUCUAAAGGAAUCAGCUUAUACUCCCAUCCAAGAUUGAGUGACAUCACACACCAUGAAACAACAAUAUCUAACAAAACUUGUUCACUUCAACAGAAAUUUUCAAAGUCUGUUCAGACUUUUCCUCAUCACUGCUGCCUGACUUCAGUCUUGACAUCCUAAAUCUGAGAGUCACUCACUCCUUUUUUACUUCUUGUUCUACCACACUGACCAAUAGCUUUGCUUUUCCUUCUCAGUCUGUACCCACAACGUGCAUCAGCCAUACAAACAAUCUGAAUUUUUUUAUGUAAAGCAUUACCCAUAUUCACUGGGAAAAAACCAUAAACUGAAGCAAGUUUUCAAUAAAAUAAUGAAAUUAAAUUCUAGGUAGCUAGGAACAGCACACAUUGGAUUUCAGAGCUUCAUAUCUCCAUGGCUACAGCCAAUACAGUUUCAUAGUUUUCAGUGUAUGUGAAACACUGCUAUUCAGGAGCUAUGCAGAAACAUAAAUUGCAAUUCCAGGAGGUAAAAAGAAGUAUCUAUUAAUUGUAUGUAUCAAAGUUUGUAUUCUAUAGGAGUAUGUGUUACAGAAAUAUAAUUCUGUUACGUGACAUAUGGCUGUCUUAUGGGGAACUAGUGCUAUGCUAGUAUUGAAAGAAAUGUUCUGUUCUCAACCAUAUACAAAUGCUUUUUUUUUAUUGGCCUUGGUCUUCACAGAGGUCUAGCUUAAAUUCUGUUUUUCAUUAAUGUUGAAUGUCAGGAAAAGAAGCCAGGAUCCAACCCCAUAAUGCCAUUGUUGUGCUAUUUGAAAAGAUUUGCUGGUCUGUACUGUAAGCUCCCUGGGACAAAGUCUGUCUUUCCAGUGGUUGCAGACUGUGCAAAACAAUAGAAACAAUGCUGGAAUAUAAUAAAUGUUUAACAGUAUUAACAGUGCCAGUAGAUUCAGUUCUGGUCCAUGUAAUUGCAAAGUGUGUCCAGAUGCUGCAAUGAUGCAUACCUUGCAAAUGCAUGUAAUG